rnacentral:rRNA from 1 species
CAGCAGCCGCGGGAAUACAGAGGGUGCGAGCGUUAAUCGGAUUUACUGGGCGUAAAGCGUGCGUAGGCGGCUUCUUAAGUCGCAUGUGAAAUCCCUGAGCUUAACUUAGGAAUUGCAUUCGAUACUGGGAAGCUAGAGUAUGGGAGAGGAUGGUAGAAUUCCAGGUGUAGCGGUGAAAUGCGUAGAGAUCUGGAGGAAUACCGAUGGCGAAGGCAGCCAUCUGGCCUAAUACUGACGCUGAGGUACGAAAGCAUGGGGAGCAAACAGGAUUAGAUACCCCGGUAGUCCCUGUCUCUUAUAC